rnacentral:rRNA from 1 species
UGCUCUGUGGAUCAGUGGCGAACGGGUGAGUAACACGUGAGCAACCUGCCCCUGACUCUGGGAUAAGCGCUGGAAACGGCGUCUAAUACCGGAUAUGAGCUGCGAUCGCAUGGUCAGCAGUUGGAAAGAUUUUUCGGUCUGGGAUGGGCUCACGGCCUAUCAGCUUGUUGGUGAGGUAAUGGCUCACCAAGGCGUCGACGGGUAGCCGGCCUGAGAGGGUGACCGGCCACACUGGGACUGAGACACGGCCCAGACUCCUACGGGAGGCAGCAGUGGGGAAUAUUGCACAAUGGGCGAAAGCCUGAUGCAGCAACGCCGCGUGAGGGAUGACGGCCUUCGGGUUGUAAACCUCUUUUAGCAGGGAAGAAGCGAAAGUGACGGUACCUGCAGAAAAAGCGCCGGCUAACUACGUGCCAGCAGCCGCGGUAAUACGUAGGGCGCAAGCGUUAUCCGGAAUUAUUGGGCGUAAAGAGCUCGUAGGCGGUUUGUCGCGUCUGCUGUGAAAUCCCGAGGCUCAACCUCGGGUCUGCAGUGGGUACGGGCAGACUAGAGUGCGGUAGGGGAGAUUGGAAUUCCUGGUGUAGCGGUGGAAUGCGCAGAUAUCAGGAGGAACACCGAUGGCGAAGGCAGAUCUCUGGGCCGUUACUGACGCUGAAGGAGCGAAAGGGGUGGGGAGCAAACAGGCUUAGAUACCCUGGUAGUCCACCCCGUAAACGUUGGGAACUAGUUGUGGGGUCCAUUCCACGGAUUCCGUGACGCAGCUAACGCAUUAAGUUCCCCGCCUGGGGAGUACGGCCGCAAGGCUAAAACUCAAAGGAAUUGACGGGGACCCCGCACAAGC